ncrna:unclassified sequences glycine-GGAnGA riboswitch
CCGGCUAACGAUUAUUCUAGACAUCGGUGAAUUCACCGGGGCCGAAGAAGCAAAACCUGGAAAGGCAUCUUUUUCAGGAAGAAACUGACAGGCAAAAGGAAGGUAAUCUCACGGAACUCUGGAGAGCAUGGAAUCAUUCCAUCGCCUACGUGGCUAUAACCAACUGGCAAAAGGACAGAGAG